GUCAUCAUCCCAGCCCUGAACUCCUUGUCCACCCUGCUGGUUGUCAGCUGCAUCUUAUGGAAGACAUGCCGGCGGCGGGCCCGGCUCACCUAUCCCAGCCCUCCAUCUCCAUGAAAAAACCCAGUUGCAUCAUCACAAAUACCCAACGGAAGCUCUGCCAUGUCUGCACACCCAUGACAUAAAGAGAAGACCUUUGGUGUGACAUAAAGAGAAGAAAUUCUCUUUGCUCUCUCAAGGCAA